UACGUAGGGUCCGAGCGUUGUCCGGAAUUAUUGGGCGUAAAGGGCUCGUAGGCGGUUUGUCACGUCGGGCGUGAAAACUCAGGGCUCAACCCUGAGCGUGCGUUCGAUACGGGCAGACUAGAGGUAUGCAGGGGAGAACGGAAUUCCUGGUGUAGCGGUGGAAUGCGCAGAUAUCAGGAGGAACACCGGUGGCGAAGGCGGUUCUCUGGGCCUUACCUGACGCUGAGGAGCGAAAGCGUGGGGAGCAAACAGG
rnacentral:rRNA from 1 species